UGAGGAAUAUUGCACAAUGGGCGCAAGCCUGAUGCAGCGACGCCGCGUGGGUGAUGAAGGUCUUCGGAUCGUAAAGCCCUUUUCUGCGUGACGAGACAGGACGGUAGCGCAGGAAUAAGUCUCGGCUAACUACGUGCCAGCAGCCGCGGUAAAACGUAGGAGACAAACGUUAUCCGGAGUUACUGGGCGUAAAGGGCGUGUAGGCGGUAUGUUAAGUCUGGCGUGAAAGCUCUCGGCUAAACCGGGAGAGGUCGUUGGAUACUGGCAAACUAGAGGAUGGUAGAGGCGUGUGGAAUUCCGGGUGUAGUGGUGAAAUGCGUAGAGAUCCGGAGGAACACCAGUGGCGAAGGCGACACGCUGGGCCAUACCUGACGCUAAAGCGCGACAGCAUGGGGAGCAAACAGGAUUAGAUACCCUCGUAGUCCCUGAGCGGGCUGGCAAGGCGCAU
rnacentral:rRNA from 1 species